AGUGAACGCUGGCGGUAGGCCUAACACAUGCAAGUCGAACGGCAGCACAGUAAGAGCUUGCUCUUACGGGUGGCGAGUGGCGGACGGGUGAGGAAUACAUCGGAAUCUACUUUUUCGUGGGGGAUAACGUAGGGAAACUUACGCUAAUACCGCAUACGACCUACGGGUGAAAGCAGGGGAUCUUCGGACCUUGCGCGAUUGAAUGAGCCGAUGUCGGAUUAGCUAGUUGGCGGGGUAAAGGCCCACCAAGGCGACGAUCCGUAGCUGGUCUGAGAGGAUGAUCAGCCACACUGGAACUGAGACACGGUCCAGACUCCUACGGGAGGCAGCAGUGGGGAAUAUUGGACAAUGGGCGCAAGCCUGAUCCAGCCAUACUGCGUGGGUGAAGAAGGCCUUCGGGUUGUAAAGCCCUUUUGUUGGGAAAGAAAAGCAGCAGGCUAAUACCCCGCUGUUCUGACGGUACCCAAAGAAUAAGCACCGGCUAACUUCGUG
rnacentral:rRNA from 1 species